rnacentral:ribozyme from 1 species
AAAAAAAAAAAAAAAAAAAAAAAAAAAAAAAAAAAAAAAAAAA